GUUGAACACCACGUUAAGCACUGCAUUCUCAGAAAAUCAGCACUGACUCUAGAGCACAGCCAAAAUGCCCGGAACAAAAGGUAAUAAGUCGGACAAGAAGUCAGCUACCAAGCAACCUCAGAGUCCUAAAGAGCAGCCGAAGAAAGCUGAUCAGAAAGGAGAUGAUAACAAGAAGCAAGGAGGACAGCCGAAGGGAGAGAAGCAAUAACUUCCAGGCAUUUGUGAAGAUGGCUUUGGAGACACUGCUGGGGUCCUGCCGCCGUAAACAUGGGGGCCCCCGGGGCAAACAGGGCUGAGUGCGCCACACUUUCCCCCUGAGCCUUCAGACUGGGCUGUUGUGCGGCCAGUUCCGAUACAGCAUCUGCUCACCUCCCACAGAGGCAGAAAGUGAACCUGAUCUCCAUCCAUCACCAUCUGUUGUUCAACCUCUGUUCCUCCCCCCCUCCCCCACUCUCUAACCCUUACCUGUCCCCUUCCCCACACUGUCCGCUUUGGGUUAUUGGAUGCUCAGAUAUAAACUCCAAGUUAAACCAGGACCGCUGCUGAGCUAAAAAAAAAAAAAAAAAGUUUGUCACCCCUUUCAAAUCCUUCCCUAACUCACCUUCAUAGACUGUCUAACAGUCCAAACACUCUUCUUGUAAAUAAUCAUUGAAAUAAACAGCUAUUUCUUACAGCA